rnacentral:rRNA from 1 species
GACGAACGCUGGCGGCGUGCUUAACACAUGCAAGUCGAACGAUGAAGCCGGAGCUUGCUCUGGUGAAUUAGUGGCGAACGGGUGAGUAACACGUGAGUAACCUGCCCUUGACUCUGGGAUAACUGCGGGAAACUGUAGCUAAUACCGGAUACGACCCUCGGAGGCAUCUCCUGGGGGUGGAAGGAAUUUCGGUCAAGGAUGGACUCGCGGCCUAUCAGCUAGUUGGUGAGGUAAAGGCUCACCAAGGCGACGACGGGUAGCCGGCCUGAGAGGGUGACCGGCCACACUGGGACUGAGACACGGCCCAGACUCCUACGGGAGGCAGCAGUGGGGAAUAUCGCACAAUGGGCGCAAGCCUGAUGCAGCAACGCCGCGUGAGGGAUGACGGCCUUCGGGUUGUAAACCUCUUUUAGCAGGGAAGAAGCGAAAGUGACGGUACCUGCAGAAAAAGCACCGGCUAACUACGUGCCAGCCGCCGCGGUAA